rnacentral:rRNA from 1 species
AGAGUUUGAUCCUGGCUCAGAACGAACGCUGGCGGUAUGCUUAACACAUGCAAGUCGAACGAGAAAGCUUCUUCGGAAGUGAUUAAAGUGGCGCACGGGUGAGUAACACGUAGAUAACCUACCCCUUAGUCUGGGACAACCCACCGAAAGGUGGGCUAAUACUGGAUAAUACCUUUAAUCGAGUGGUUUUAGGUUGAAAGAUUCAUCGCUAGGGGAUGGGUCUGCGUACCAUUAGCUAGUUGGUGGGGUAAUGGCCUACCAAGGCUCUGAUGGUUAGCGGGUCUGAGAGGAUGAUCCGCCACACUGGAACUGAGACACGGUCCAGACUCCUACGGGAGGCAGCAGUGGGGAAUUUUGCGCAAUGGGCGAAAGCCUGACGCAGCAAUACCGCGUGAGUGAAGAAGGCCUUUGGGUCGUAAAGCUCUUUUAUUAGGGAAGAUAGUGACGGUACCUAAUGAAUAAGCACCGGCUAACUCCGUGCCAGCAGCCGCGAUAAUACGGAGGGUGCAAGCGUUGUUCGGAUUUACUGGGCGUAAAGGGCACGUAGGCGGCAUAGUAAGUUAAGGGUGAAAUCCCGGGGCUCAACUCCGGAACUGCUCUUAAAACUACUAAGCUAGAGAUAGUCAGAGGCGGGUGGAAUUCCUGGUGUAGAGGUGAAAUUCGUAGAUAUCAGGAGGAACACCGGUGGCGAAGGCGGCCCGCUGGGGCUAUUCUGACGCUGAGGUGCGAAAGCGUGGGGAGCGAACGGGAUUAGAUACCCCGGUAGUCCACGCCGUAAACGAUGAAUACCGGCUGUUUGGAGAAUCGACACUCCAAGUGGCGCAGCUAACGCGUUGAGUAUUCCGCCUGGGGAGUACGGUCGCAAGACUAAAACUCAAAGGAAUUGACGGGGGCCCGCACAAGCGGUGGAGCAUGUGGUUUAAUUCGACGCAACGCGAAGAACCUUACCUGGGUUUGACAUCUCCGGACCGCCAUAGAGAUAUGGUUUUCCCUUCGGGGACCGGAUGACAGGUGCUGCAUGGCUGUCGUCAGCUCGUGUCGUGAGAUGUUGGGUUAAGUCCCGCAACGAGCGCAACCCUUGUCCUUAGUUGCCAGCAUUUCGGAUGGGAACUCUAAGGAGACUGCCGGUGUUAAGCCGGAGGAAGGUGGGGAUGACGUCAAGUCCUCAUGGCCUUUAUAUCCAGGGCUACACACGUGCUACAAUGGUAACUACAAAGAGCUGCAAGACCGCGAGGUUGAGCGAAUCUCAAAAAAGUUAUCUCAGUUCGGAUUACAGUCUGCAACUCGGCUGUAUGAAGUUGGAAUCGCUAGUAAUCGUAGAUCAGCGUGCUACGGUGAAUACGUUCCCGGGCCUUGUACACACCGCCCGUCACACCAUGGGAGUUGACAUUGGCAGAAUACAUUGAGCUAACCUUCGGGGAGCAGGUGUGCAAGCUAGUGUUGAUGACUGGGGUGAAGUCGUAACAAGGUAGCAGUAGGAGAACCUGCGGCUGGAUCACCUCCUU